rnacentral:rRNA from 1 species
GUAUUUUGACUGUGCAAAGGUAGCAUAAUCAUUAGUUUUUUAAUUAAAAGCUUGUAUGAAAGGCUGGACGAGGUAAAAUCUGUCUCUAUUUAAAUUAUAGUAGAAUUUAACUUUUAAGUCAAAAGGCUUAAAUGUUAUUAAAAGACGAGAAGACCCUAUAGAUCUUUAUAGUUUAUUAAAUUAAAUUAAUUUAGAAAUGUUAAUGUUUUAUUUAAUUAAGUUAUUUUAUUGGGGUAAUAAAAAGAUUGAAUUAAUUCUUUUUUAUAAUAAACAUUAAUUUAUGAAUAUUAAUGAUCCAGUUUUACUGAUUAUAAGAUUAAGUUACCUUAGGGAUAACAGCGUAAUUUUUUUAGAGAGUUCAUAUCGAUAAAAAAGUUUGCGACCUCGAUGUUGGAUUAAAGAUUAUUUUAGGUGUAGAAGCUUAAUAAUUUUGGUCUGUUCGACCAUUAAAUCUUUACAUGAUCUGAGUUCAGACCGGCGUAAGCCAGGUCGGUUUCUAUCUUUAAUAAAACAAAAUAUUUUAGUACGAAAGGACCAAAUAUUUGAUAUAUUUAUAUUUAACUCAUUGAAUAUUA